rnacentral:lncRNA from 1 species
UUUCGGUAACUAGCAUAGUAGUAAAAUGCGGAAAAUAAAACUUAUCGACCGAUGAGUUUUUUGACAGCACGAUAUCUUAAAGUGAAAUUACUUGCCAUUAAUUACUGCAAUAUCUUCGGACAAUCACUCUCAAAAUAUAACAAGCUAAUAAACUACUUGUGUAAUAAUCACGAAUAGUUUCAGAACUUUCAAGAAUAUUUGUAAUUUUUAAUGACUUGUGGAUA